CGUAGCAUUGAGGUGUUCCUGAAAUAAAGAAAGCUGUUGAGAAGAAUCUGACCGUGUUGCAUUUUUCUUGCUGAACGAGGUGAGCGCAACAAAUUGGUGGCCAGCACAGGGACCCGAGGAUCUCAUGGAUUCAGAACUCUUCAGCUGAGGAACGGUGGUACCGUCUCUUGAACAGAUUCACCUCUUAUCUGAGUAGGAAAUUGGUUGGCUAAAGCGGAGCAGUUGUCCAGAAAGCUGCUCCUCCAGAAUGCAAAACUCAACAGCACUCGACUGGAUCCUGUCACCUUGGGGGACUUCACCUCCUGGAUCACCAAUGCCUUCUCAUCUUUUAAGGAAUAGGCGGACGCGUGAACGUGUCCUCCAUCCGCUGCCUCAAAGACAGGAAACACCUGCUGUAAUUUUUGCCGCUCGUCUCGAGGGAUAAAAGAAUCUGAAUGAAAAUUUUCCACAUAAGGUGGAGGGGCACUAGGACUGGAAGACUGAACAACGACCUGACCCUUGCUUCCAUUCCUUUUGGACUUCCUCUCUGAUUCACUAGGCCGUCUUUCAUCAGGAUGAUAUCUCUCUUCCUCAUAACGAGCUGCUUCCUCCUCCAAAUCUUCCUCAUCAGUGGGACUAAGCUCCUCACUUGAAUCUGAACCAUCAAGUCCCAGAGCCUCAAGUUCCUUUACCGGAUGAAGGCUCUUCUUUUUGGGGGCCUCUUUUCCCCACUCCUCUCUCUUCUCUUCUGGGGCGUCCUUUCCCUAUUCUCUCACUUCAUCGGAUCCAGGGUCCAUGGAAGGGCCUUUUUUCUUAGGUAUACCUUUUUUUCUUUGAGCUCCUAAUCUUUUACCCCGCUCUGUUUCUGACAUGCUGUCUUGAAUACUCCUCCAGCACUCCCUGUCCUGCUUUCACUAUAAGGAAAAGGAUAAGUGCCGCAAGAACAAUUACGAAGGCUUCCACUGCCCCUUCUAGUUGUGGAGAAAGACCAGAACCAAUCAUGCCUCUCAGAGCUUACCUUAAAAACCUAACCUGGCUGCAGUUCUGAAUCUGCCCCGCAAACGGAGAGUCUCCUCGGCGCUGGUGAUGGUAAGGCGUUUCCCAGAUUUUGGCACCACUUCUCACGCGCUAUUGUCUCGCCAGCAAGAACACACACGCAAACAACCAGAUCCUUCUGCUGCAAUUCUUUAUUACGCUAGCUUCAGCAUGAAGAUGAAGACCCCAAGCCCCAAAAAGGCGCUGCUUAUAUACACCUCAGUGCGGCAUGUCCACACCUGAUUCGCUGCUCUCUCAGCAUGCCCCAGGAUGGGCAGUGACUUGGCGUGAACACACUCUUGCACAUGCGCAUAUUGCUUGUUUACCAGGUAGGCCACGCAGGCACAGUGGAAACCGCUUCCCACAGAAAUCUGUUCUUUGCUAAUAUGAAAGAAAGGAAUAA